GACGAACCGUCCAAACGUUAUUCGGAAUCACUGGGCGUAAAGGGCGCGUAGGCGGCCAAGUAAGUUGGGGGUGAAAGCCCGUGGCUCAACCACGGAAUUGCCUUCGAUACUGCUUGGCUUGAGACCGGAAGAGGUGAGUGGAACUGCGAGUGUAGAGGUGAAAUUCGUAGAUAUUCGCAAGAACACCAGUGGCGAAGGCGGCUCACUGGUCCGGAUCUGACGCUGAGGCGCGAAAGCGUGGGGAGCAAACAGG
rnacentral:rRNA from 1 species